GACGAACGCUGGCGGCGUGCCUAAUACAUGCAAGUAGGACGCAGUUGCGAACGGGUGAGUAAAGCGUAGGUAACUGCCUAUUAGAGGGGGAUAACUAUUGGAAACGAUAGCUAAUACCGCAUACUAGUAGAUGGAUCUGCGUUGUAUUAGCUAGUAGGUAGGGUAAUGGCCUACUUAGGCGACGAUACAUAGCCGAGCUGAGAGGGUGAUCGGCCAGCCUGGGACUGAGACACGGCCCAGACUCCGACGGGAUGCAGCAGUGGGGAAUUUUCGGCAAUGGGGGGAACCCUGACCGAGCAACGCCGCGUGAGUGAAGGAGGUUUUCGGAUCGUAAAGCUCUGUUGUUAAGGAAGCGGUACUUAACCAGAAAGGGACGGCUGACUACGUGCCAGCAGCCGCGGUAAUUC
rnacentral:rRNA from 1 species